rnacentral:rRNA from 1 species
AGGACGAACGCUGGCGGCGUGCUUAACACAUGCAAGUCGAGCGGAAAGGCCCUUCGGGGUACUCGAGCGGCGAACGGGUGAGUAACACGUGGGCAACCUGCCCUUAGCUCUGGGAUAGCUCCGGGAAACCGGAAUUAAUACCGGAUAUGACCUAGGCCGACAUCGGCCGUGGUGGGAAGUUUUUCGGCUAGGGAUGGACUCGCGGCCUAUCAGCUAGUUGGUGGGUAAUGGCCUACCAAGGCGACGACGGGUAG